rnacentral:rRNA from 1 species
AACCAGGUGUGUUCUAUAUUUGGCGUUUUCUGCUCAAUGAGUAUUAAAUAGCCGCAGUACCUUGACUGUGCAAAGGUAGCAUAAUCAGUUGUCUUUUAAUUGAAGUCUGGCAUGAAUGAAUAAAUGGGUAGGAACUGUCUCAAGAAAGAAACAAAAAUUUACUUAGUAAGUGAAAAUACUUAUGUUUUGACAAAAGACGAGAAGACCCUAGAAAUUUUUUAAAACUUACAAUUAUUUGUAUAUUAUUUUACUGGGGCGGUAAAGUAACAAUAUAACUUGCUUAAUGUAUUAGAAGUUUUUUUACAGUAAAAAUAUAAUUACUCUAGGGAUAACAGCAUAAUUUUUAAAAGUUUGUGACCUCGAUGUUGGACUAGGGCUCGUAAUAUUCAGAAGAUAUUAUUGUGUGUUCUGUUCGAACAAAUUUCCCUACAUG